AUGUGGCUUAAACUGUGCCAGAUUUUCAGUAAACAAUAACCUAAGCUGGACCCUAAAGUGACUAAAAAAUUUUCUGUGGUACUAUGUGUUCUCAGAGAAGUGGAAAAAAAUGAUGUCACCAGGCUGCAAGUGACAAGGCAAUGAGUCUUUGUACGGCUUCCGCUUCCAGUACCUUACUUUCCUCCCCUAAAACAAAAGUCUAUGUGAAGUGGAGGAGGCGAAGUGCAAGCAUACACAGAGCUCACACUGUGCACAUGAAUUUGCAGGUAAAGCCUUCUCAAUCAUUCCAUUUCACGCCUGUGGUCAGAGGCCCAUGCAAAACUGCUUAACUGCUUCAAACUAGUUGUGGGCGUACAACCUUGAUAAAGAUGCCAAUGAUGACGAUGAUCUAUCUAUCACAUAAGAAAACAACUAUACUGUAAGCUGGGUGACUUCACAUAUAAACACUUGUGCUCGGUUGGAAGAAUGAGGAUCUGAACAUUAUACAAUCUCCAUAAUCCCUGGCCAAAAGACCAGAAUUAGCCCCCAACCUGGAAACCUCCAGCCAGAGUCAUAUCAAAGAUAAAGGGAAAAAGAAGAGAAGAAGAAUAAUCAAUCACUACUCCAUAUACAUGAGCACCAGCGACCUGGGAUGGAUAUCAAACAGUAAGAAGUGUAAGCUGAAAAGUGGGACCAAGGAUGUCAAAUCUGUCCCCCUGAUCCCUAUGAGAAACAAAUCAGGAGACGUCUACAUUGAAGAAGAGACCGGCCAAGAAAUCUGCACAAAGAAGAAAAACAGGGAUAAACCUCAUAUGGAUGAUUCCGCCUUCUCCCUUGUCCUUCAUCAGGAGAGUAAUUUAACUGCUAUAAAGAUAUAUUAAGAUUUUAACUAAUACAGAUUUUUGGACUUCAAAACCAUACGGCAUUAAAGUGAGGGAAUGCACUUAAAGUUGUAUUUUCUUGACUUUGUACCACUUUAUACAGAUUUUAUCAAUUUUUUCACGAUUAGAGAUGUUAUUAGGACCAUCUAAAAACUCGUCAGUAUUUCACUGACACCAUAAUUUUAAAGUCGUAUGGAAAGACUGGGAGUGUCACUUUUUUACAUUACCACUUAAUAGCAACAACAGCCAGAAGAUGUGAAGAACCUCUGAAGUUAAACUCAGAAUACUGAGCAAGAUUUAUCAGUGCUGGCAACCUGGGCAAUACAGUAGGUGUGCCGGUAACUUUCUCCCAUGAAACGUGCCAUAGAAUGAAUGCCUGUAGAAGAAGUAUCUAAAAGAAAAUGUUCAUAAAUUAGUGCUAUUCUAAGAACCCCUCUAUUCUACCAACAUGUGUUCUGUACAAUAAAGUGGUGCAGGAACCUUUUAC